UCGAAGCCUAUAAAGCAUGACCGCGAAUGAGUUUUAAGACGGGGAAGUGUUGGGAUGCCUUGGCUUCCUGAUGCUCCCUCGGUCGAAAGGUGGGUUGCCUUGGCAUCUCGCCUUUCGGCAACUAACGAACCCCGGCGCGGCAAGCGCCAAGGAAUCCAAACGAAAGAACUUGUCUCUUGGACCCGUUCUCGGGCUACAAGGGGCAAAAGUUUGUUCAAAUAUAAUCAUAACGACUCUCGGCAACGGAUAUCUCGGCUCUCGCAUCGAUGAAGAACGUAGCGAAAUGCGAUACUUGGUGUGAAUUGCAGAAUCCCGUGAACCAUCGAGUCUUUGAACGCAAGUUGCGCCCGAAGCCUUUAGGCCGAGGGCACGUCUGCCUGGGCGUCAUGCACUGCGAUGCCCCCCACACAAGUGUGGGGAGCGAAGCCUGGCCUCCCGUGAACCAACUCGCGGAUGGCUUAAAUACGAGCCUCGAGACGGUUAGACGUCGCGACAAGUGGUGGUUAUGAGGCCAUUGGCCUUCGAUCUUUGCAAGUCGCGUUCGCCCGCCCCUCUUUGCUCUUAAGUAACCUUAAUGGAGUGCAUAUUGCGCUGCCAGCAUCG
rnacentral:misc_RNA from 1 species